AUUGAACGCUGGCGACAGGCCUAACACAUGCAAGUAGAGCGAGCGGCGGACGGGUGAGUAAAGUGUGGGGACCUGCCCGAAUGCGGGGGAUAACUACUGGAAACGGGGGUUAUUACCGCAUACCAGCGAAUGGACCCAUAUGGGAUGCGCUAGUAGGUGGGGUAAAGGUUCACCUAGGCGAAGAUCACUAGCUGGUCUGAGAGGAUGACAAGCCACACUGGGACUGAGACAAUGCCCAGACUCCUACGGGAGGCACCAGUGGGGAAUAUUCCACAAUGGGCGCAAGCCUGAUGCAGCCAUGCCGCGUGUAUUAAGAAGGCCUUAGGUUUGGAAAGUACUUUCAGCGUGGAGGCGGUACCCGCAGAAGAAGCACCGGCUAACUCCGUUCCAGCAGCCGCGGUAAUAC
rnacentral:rRNA from 1 species